rnacentral:rRNA from 1 species
UACGUAGGGGGCUAGCGUUGUCCGGAAUCAUUGGGCGUAAAGCGCGUGUAGGCGGUCCGGUAAGUCCGCUGUGAAAGUCGGGGGCUCAACCCUCGAAUGCCGGUGGAUACUGUCGGGCUAGAGUGCGGAAGAGGCGAGUGGAAUUCCUGGUGUAGCGGUGGAAUGCGUAGAGAUCGGGAAGAACACCCGUGGCGAAGGCGGCCAGCUGGGCCGGUUCUGACGCUGAGGCGCGAAAGCGUGGGGAGCAAACAGG